GUCUACAGCCAUACCACCCUGAACGCAUCUGAUCUCGGAAGCUAAACAGGGUCGGGCCUGGUUAGUACUUGGAUGGGAGAACAACUUCUAGGAGGGCAAAGAAGCAAUAGCAA
ensembl:rRNA 5S_rRNA 5S ribosomal RNA